UCCUCGUUGACCGAGGCAGUCUCGCGUGAAAAAUACAACACACGACAAGGGUUGCGCUCGUUGCGGGACUUAACCCAACAUCUCACGACACGAGCUGACGACGACCAUGCAGCACCUGUCACCGGGCUCCUUGCGGCACCUCCUGAUUUCUCAGGAGUUCCCGGGAUGUCAAGCCCUGGUAAGGUUCUUCGCUUAAUGUCGAAUUAAACCACACGCUCCACCGCUUGUGCGGGUCCCCGUCAAUUCCUUUGAGUUUUAGUCUUGCGACCGUACUCCCCAGGCGGGGUACUUAACGCGUUAGCUUCGAUACCCAGGGGUUCUAUGCCCCAGAUACCUAGUACCCAUCGUUUACGGCGUGGACUAC
rnacentral:misc_RNA from 1 species